GGGGGCGUCACGGCUUCGACGUGGGUCAUGAAACCGGAGGUGCAUGCCGAGGUGCAGAUUACCUCGUAAAUACAACUGCAAACAUUUUAGUUGCCAACGAAGACAACUACGCACUCGCUGCUUAAAACCCAGUAGGGUGCCGUCCGACUGAAGCCGUGCUCAUGCGUUCAGGUUUCGGGCGUCAUAUCUCAUGUGAUCGCGGUAAGGUAUUUUUAGGACCGAACCGUUAAAACCUUUACUAAAAUCGUUUGAAGCCUUCCCUGCCGGUCGGGUAGCUUCAAAUUAAAUUAAUAGACUCGGAUAAGCAUGUAGAGCCAAAGAUGUAAGGCUUGCGGACGCGGGUUCGACUCCCGCCGCCUCCACCA
rnacentral:tmRNA from 1 species